rnacentral:rRNA from 1 species
GACAGAGGUGCCAAGCGUUAGGCGGAAUCACUGGGCUUAAAGCGCGUGUAGGCGGCUAAGUAAGUCGGGCGUGAAAUCCCACGGCUCAACCGUGGAAGUGCACUCGAAACUGCAUAGCUAGAGUCCUGGAGAGGAAGGUGGAAUGCUUGGUGUAGAGGUGAAAUUCGUAGAUAUCAAGCGGAACACCGGUGGCGAAGGCGGCCUUCUGGACAGUGACUGACGCUGAGGCGCGAAAGCGUGGGGAGCAAACAGG